AAGUCGUAACAAGGUUUUCGUAGGUGAACCUGCGGAAGGAUCAUUAGUGAAACACAAGAGUGCUCUUAAUUGAGGCUCGUUUAACUAUCCAUUACACUUAGUGCACUUGAAAUCUUAUAUUCUUCAAUACCUUUACGGGUUGUCGAAGUCUAUAAUACCCAUACAUAACCCCUUUGAAUAUUUUAUAAGAGAUGAGGAUGUAAAUAACCAAUGAAAUUUGAAAGAACAACUUUCAGCAACGGAUUUCUUGGCUCUC
rnacentral:misc_RNA from 1 species